rnacentral:rRNA from 1 species
CAGUAGCCACGGUAAUACGAGGGGGGCAAGCGUUGUUCGGAAUUAUUGGGCGUAAAGGGUGCGUAGGCGGUUUGGCAAGUCUUGUGUGAAAUCUUCGGGCUCAACCCGAAGCCUGCACGAGAAACUGCCGGGCUUGAGUAUUGGAGAGGUGAGUGGAAUUUCCGGUGUAGCGGUGAAAUGCGUAGAUAUCGGAAGGAACACCUGUGGCGAAAGCGGCUCACUGGACAAUAACUGACGCUGAUGCACGAAAGCUAGGGGAGCAAACAGGAUUAGAUACCCCGGUAGUCCCUGUCUCUUAUAC